GUAGUACUCCCUCCGUCCGGAAAUACUUGUCAUCAAAAUGAAUAAAAGGGGAUGUAUCUAAAUGUAUAUUAGUUCUAGAUACAUCUUUUUUAUCCAUUUUGAUGACAAGUAUUUUCGGACAGAGGGAGUACUUU
rnacentral:pre_miRNA from 1 species